rnacentral:lncRNA from 1 species
UGUGGGGUCUAUGGGGCAGGGUGGGUCCCCGGAUGCCUGGGUCCCCCCACACCCUUUCUUAAUGUCCUCUCUGCGGUGCGUGGUGCAGAUGGGGCCUCGUCGGACGUGGCUUCUCUGGGCCUGGCUCGUGCUCCAGUGUGGUGCUGAUCCACCAGCCCACAGCAGCGCCAAGCUCUGCGCUGGGGUACAAUGCGGGCUGGGGACCACUUGCAGAGUGCUGGACGGCAGGCCCAAGUGCGUCCCCUCGCCCUCCUGCAAAAAUUACCAAUGCAAAGACGGGACCCGGUGCCAGAUGGUGGAUGGCUGGCCCCAGUGCGUCCCAGCGCCAUCGUGCAAGAACACCCGUUGUGAAGCUGGAACAGAGUGCAAGAUGGUGGAUGGGUGGCCAAAAUGUGUCCCGUUGCCGUCGUGCAAGAACACCCGUUGUGGAGCUGGAACUCAGUGCCAGAUGGUGGACGGGUUGCCCAAAUGUGUCCCGUUGCCGUCGUGCAAGAACACCCGAUGUGGAGCAGGAACUCAGUGCCAGAUGGUGGACGGGUGGCCCAAAUGUGUCCCGUUGCCUUCAUGUAAAAACACCCGUUGUGGAGCAGGAACUCAGUGCCAGAUGGUGGACGGGUGGCCCAAGUGCGUCCCGUUGCCAUCAUGCAAGAACACCCGUUGUGGAGCUGGAACUCAGUGCAAGAUGGUGGAUGGAUGGCCCAAAUGCGUCCCGUUGCCUUCGUGCAAGAACACCCGAUGUGGAGCUGGAACAGAAUGCAAGAUGAUUGAUGGGUUGCCCAAAUGUGUCCCGUUGCCAUCAUGCAAGAACUUCCACUGCCAAGCAGGAACAGAAUGCAAGAUGGUAGAUGGAUGGCCGAAAUGCGUCCCUUUGCCCUCGUGUAAAAACACCCGUUGUGGAGCAGGAACAGAAUGCAAAAUGGUUGAUGGAUUGCCCAAAUGUGUCCCGUUGCCAUCGUGCAAGAACUUCCACUGCCAAGCAGGAACAGAAUGCAAGAUGGUGGAUGGAUGGCCGAAAUGCGUCCCUUUGCCCUCAUGCAAGAAUACCCGUUGUGAAGAAGGAACGCAGUGCAAGAUGGUGGACGGGUGGCCAAAAUGUGUCCCCUUGCCUUCAUGUAAAAACACCCGUUGUGAAGCAGGAACUCAGUGCCAGAUGGUGGAUGGAUGGCCGAAAUGUGUCCCAUUGCCCUCGUGUAAGAACACCCAUUGUGGAGAAGGAACAGAAUGCAAGAUGAUUGAUGGAUUGCCCAAAUGCGUCCCAUUGCCCUCAUGCAAGAACUUCCAUUGUGAAGCUGGAACAGAAUGCAAGAUGGUGGACGGGUGGCCAAAAUGUGUCCCGUUACCAUCGUGCAAGAACACCCGAUGUGGAGCAGGAACAGAAUGCAAGAUGGUUGAUGGAUGGCCCAAGUGUGUCCCAUUGCCAUCGUGCAAGAACUUCCAGUGUGGAGCAGGAACUCAGUGCCAGAUGGUGGACGGGUGGCCCAGGUGUGUCCCGUUGCCAUCAUGCAAGAACACCCGAUGUGGAGCCGGGACUCGGUGCCAGAUGGUGGACGGGUUGCCCAAAUGCGUCCCGUUGCCUUCAUGCAAGAACUUCCAUUGUGGGGCAGGAACUCAGUGCCAGAUGGUGGAUGGAUGGCCCAAAUGUGUCCCGUUGCCAUCAUGCAAGAACACCCGAUGUGGGGCAGGAACUCGGUGCCAGAUGGUGGACGGAUUGCCCAAAUGCGUCCCGUUGCCGUCGUGCAACAACUUCCGUUGUGGGGCAGGGACGCGAUGCAAGAUGGUGGACGGGUGGCCCAAAUGCGUCCCCGUGCCCUCGUGUCGGAAUUUCCCCUGCAAGGAUGGGACGCGGUGCCAGAUGGUGGCCGGCAGACCCAGGUGCGUCCCCGUGCCCUCGUGCCACAACACCAAGUGCGGCGAGGGCAUGCGGUGCAAGGUGGUGGAUGGAUGGCCCAGGUGUGUCCACCUCCUGCCGUCCUGCCGGGACAUUCGGUGCUUGAAGGGGACCCACUGCAAAAUGGUGGACGGGUGGCCCAAAUGCGUGCGCAAGCAGGUCUUCCAGAGGGAAGUGCCCCCACUGCCAGCUCCCCAGGCGCCCCCCUCGUGCCAAAACGUUCCCUGUACCAAAGGGACCACGUGCAAGGUGGUGGAUGGGUGGCCCCAGUGCGUCCCCACCAAGACGUCCCCAAGGAGACCUUCUUGCGCUGACAUCCACUGUCCCAAAAGGACCACGUGCAAGAUGACGGAUGGGUGGCCCCACUGCGUCCAGAAGCGCCCCUCCUGCAGUGACAUCAAAUGCGAGAAGGGAACCUCCUGCCAGAUCGUUGAUGGUUGGCCACGGUGCGUCCAAAGCAAGACGUCCCCAGGACAACCUUGUCGGGACAUCCAGUGUCCCAAGGGAACCUCGUGCAAGGUGACUGAUGGCCAAGCGCGGUGUGUCCACAACCCACCCUCCUGUGAUGACAUCCAGUGCCAGAAGGGAACCGUGUGCCACAUGGUCGAUGGUUGGCCAUGGUGCGGGCCAACCAAGACCUCCUACUCGCAGCCCGCCCAUAAAACCCUGUCGUGCGAGGACAUCCGCUGCCAAAUGGGGACGGUGUGCAAAAUGGUCGACGGGUGGCCCAAGUGCGUCGGGCCCCUGCCGUCAUGCAACGACAUCCGAUGUCCCCAAGGCACGGUGUGCAAGAUGAUCAACGGUUGGCCCAAGUGCAUCCACAACCCGCCCUCCUGCAGCAACAUCCAGUGCCCGAAGGGGACCAAGUGCCUCAUGGCCCAGGGUUGGCCCCGCUGCGUGCAGAGUGGGCCCUUCCACCACCAGCAACCGGCUUCUCCCAACUGGGCAGGCACCAGGAGAUAUUUCUACUCCCAGCCCGUCCCGAAACAGCUCCCCAGUGCGCAGCCAUCUUGCGCCGACGUGUGGUGUCGCCGAGGGACCUCGUGUAAGAUGAUGGACAACCAACCUCGAUGUGUCCCCAACCCACCUUCUUGUAGUGACAUCCAGUGCCAGAAGGGAACCGCGUGCCAGAUGGUUGACGGUUGGCCCCAGUGCGUUCAAACCAAGAUAUCCCACACGCAACCAACCCAGAAAAAAAGGACGUGUGAGGACAUCCAGUGUGCAAAAGGAACCGUGUGUAACAUGCUGGAAGGUGGACCCAAAUGCAUUGCCCAACGUCGUUCCUGCAGUGACAUCCAGUGUCCCAAGGGGACCACGUGUAGGAUGGCAGAUGGACAACCCCACUGUGUCCACAAUGCACCGUCAUGCAGUGAUAUCCAGUGCCAGAAGGGAACCGUGUGCCAGAUGGUUGAUGGUUGGCCCAGGUGCAUCCAAACCAAGAUAUCUGUCAGGCGGCCUUCUUGCAGUGAUGUCCACUGUCCCAAAGGAACCACAUGCAAUUUGAUCGAUGGUCAACCACGAUGUGUCCACAAUGCGCCCUCAUGCAGUGACAUCCACUGCCAGAAAGGAACCACGUGCCAGAUGGUUGAUGGUUGGCCACGGUGCAUUCAAACCAAGGUCUCACCAAGGCGACCUUCCUGCAGUGACAUCCAAUGUCCUAAAGGGACCACGUGCAACUUGAUUGAUGGCCAACCACGAUGCAUCCACAAUGCUCCCUCCUGCAGUGAUGUCCAGUGCCAGAAGGGAACCACGUGCCAGAUGGUUGAUGGUUGGCCACGGUGCGUUCAAACCAAGGUCUCACCAAGGCGACCUUCCUGCAGUGACAUCCAAUGUCCUAAAGGGACCACGUGCAACUUGAUUGAUGGCCAACCACAAUGUGUCCACAACGCACCCUCAUGCAGUGACAUCCAAUGCCAGAAGGGAACCGUGUGCCAGAUGGUUGAUGGUUGGCCCCGGUGCAUCCAAACCAAGAUACCUGUCAGGCAGCCUUCUUGCAAUGAUGUCCACUGUCCCAAAGGAACCACAUGCAAUUUGAUCGAUGGUCAACCACGAUGUGUCCACAACGCGCCCUCCUGCAGUGACAUCCAAUGCGACAAGGGAACUGCGUGCCAGAUGGUUGAUGGUUGGCCCCGAUGUGUGCAAACCAAAACCUCUGUAAGGCAGCCAUCCUGCAAGGACAUCCAGUGUCCCAAAGGGACCACAUGUAGGAUGGCAGAUGGACAACCCCGCUGUGUCCAUAACUCUCCCUCCUGCAGUGACAUCCAGUGCCAGAAGGGAACCACUUGCCAGAUGGUUGAUGGUUGGCCCCGGUGCAUCCAAACCAAGAUCUCCCCAAGACGGCCUUCUUGCAAUGAUGUGCACUGUCCCAAAGGGACCACGUGCAACUUGAUUGAUGGUCAACCACGGUGUGUCCAUAACCCACCUUCCUGCAGUGAGAUCCAAUGCCAGAAGGGAACCACAUGCCAGAUAGUUGAUGAUUGGCCCCAAUGCAUUCAAACCAAGAUCUCCCCAAGACGACCUUCCUGCAGUGAUAUCCACUGUCCCAAAGGGACCACUUGCAACUUGAUUGAUGGUCAACCACGAUGUGUCCACAACACGCCCUCCUGCAGUGACAUCCAGUGCCAGAAGGGAACCACGUGCCAGAUGGUUGAUGGUUGGCCCCGAUGUGUGCAAACUAAAACCAUUGUGAGGCAGCCAUCCUGCAAGGACAUCCAGUGUCCCAAAGGGACCACGUGUAGGAUGGCAGAUGGACAACCCCACUGUGUCCAUAACGCGCCUUCCUGCAGUGACAUUCAGUGCCAGAAGGGAACCACGUGCCAGAUGGUUGAUGGUUGGCCCCGAUGUGUGCAAACUAAAACCAUUGUGAGGCAGCCAUCCUGCAAGGACAUCCAGUGUCCCAAAGGGACCACGUGUAAGAUGGCAGACGGACAACCCCACUGUGUCCACAACGUGCCCUCCUGUCAUGAUGUGCAGUGCCAGAAGGGAGCAGUGUGCCAGAUGGUUGAUGGUUGGCCCCGAUGUGUGCAAACCAAGAUAUCCAUCAGGCAACCUUCUUGCAACGAUGUCCACUGUCCCAAAGGAACCACAUGCAACUUGAUCGAUGGUCAACCACGAUGUGUCCAUAACCCACCUUCCUGCAGUGACAUCGAGUGCCAGAAGGGAACCACGUGCCAGAUGGUUGAUGGUUGGCCCCGGUGCAUCCAAACCAAGACCUUGGUGAGGCAACCGUCUUGCAAGGACAUCCAGUGUCCCAAAGGGACCACAUGUAGGAUGGCAGAUGGACAACCCCACUGUGUCCACAACACACCAUUGUGCAGUGAUAUCCAGUGCCAGAAGGGAACCACAUGCCAGAUGGUUGAUGGUUGGCCCCGAUGCAUCCAAAUCAAGAUCUCUCCAAGACGACCUUCUUGCAAUGAUAUCCACUGCCCCAAAGGAACGACGUGCAACUUGAUUGAUGGUCAACCACGAUGUGUCCACAAUGCACCCUCUUGCAGUGACAUCCAGUGCCAGAAGGGAACGACGUGCCAGAUGGUUGAUGGUUGGCCCCGAUGCGUGCAAACCAAGACCUUGGUGAGGCAACCGUCUUGCAAGGACAUCCAGUGUCCCAAAGGGACCACGUGUAGGGUGGCAGAUGGACAACCUCACUGUGUCCACAACGUGCCCUCUUGCAAUGAGAUCCACUGCCAGAAGGGAACCACGUGCCAGAUGGUUGAUGGUUGGCCAAGGUGCGUCCAAACCAAGAUGCCCUCUGUGCAACCUACUUGCAGUGACAUCCAGUGUCCCAGAGGGACCACGUGUAAGAUGGAUGAUGGUUGGCCGCUCUGCAUCCAAAACCGACCCUCUUGCCAUGAUGUCCAGUGCCAGAAGGGAACCACGUGCCAGAUGGUCAAUGGUUGGCCCCGGUGUGUCCAAGUCAAGACCUCCAUUAGGAAACCUUCUUGCAGCGAUGUCCAAUGCCCCAAGGGGACCACGUGCAGUUUGAGAGAUGAGUGGCCUCAAUGUGUUCACGACAAACCCUCCUGCAAAGAUAUCCAAUGUCCAAAGGGGACCACGUGUAGGAUCACAGAUGGGUGGGCCAGGUGUGUCCACACCCAGCCUUCCUGCCAUGAGGUCCAAUGCCAGAAGGGAUCUGCGUGCCAGAUGGUUGAUGGCUGGCCCCGAUGUGUGCAAACCAAAACCACCGUGAGGCUACCAUCCUGCAACAACAUCCAGUGUCCCAAAGGGACCUCGUGCAAAAUGCUGCAGGGGUGGCCCCAGUGCGUCCACAGCCAACCCACCUGCAGUGAUGUCCACUGCCCCAAGGGGACCAUGUGCAAUAUUGUCAACGGUUGGCCCCAGUGUGUGCAAAACCGUCCCUCCUGCAGUGACAUCCAAUGCCAGAAGGGAUCAGCUUGCCAGAUGGUUGAUGGUUGGCCCCGGUGUGUCCAAACCAAGAUCUCCCCAAGACGGCCUUCUUGCAACAAUGUGCAAUGUCCCAAGGGAACCACGUGCAAGAUACUAUUUGGUUGGCCUCAGUGCGUUCACAGACAACCAUCGUGCAACGACAUCCAGUGUGAGAAAGGAAGCGUGUGCCAGAUGGUGGAUGGUUGGCCAAGGUGUGUUCAGCACCAGCCAACUUGCAACGACCUCCAGUGUCCUACAGGGACCUCAUGCAGGAUGGCAGAUGGUUGGCCCCAGUGUGUCCAAGUCAAGAUGGCCCCAAGGAAACCUUCUUGCAGGGACAUCCAGUGUCCCAAAGGGACCGUGUGCAAGGUGCUACUCGGGUGGCCUCAGUGUGUCCGCAGACAACCAUCCUGCAACGAUAUCCAGUGCCAGAAGGGAAGCGUGUGCCAGAUUGUAGAUGGUUGGCCACGGUGUGUUCAGAGACAACCUACUUGUAAGGACAUCCAGUGCCCUAAAGGGACUACGUGCUCUGUGUUCAAUGGCUGGCCCCAAUGCAUCCAAAAUCGUCCCUCCUGCAGUGACAUCCAAUGCCAGAAGGGAACCACGUGUCAGAUGGUGGAUGGUUGGCCCCGAUGCAUCCAAACCAAGAUCUCCCCAAGACGGCCUUCUUGCAACGAUGUCCACUGUCCCAAAGGAACCACGUGCAAUAUUAUCAACGGCUGGCCCCAAUGUGUCCAAAAUCGUCCCUCCUGCAGUGACAUCCAGUGCCAGAAGGGAACUGCGUGCCAGAUGGUUGAUGGUUGGCCCCGAUGUGUGCACACCAAGACCACCCUGAGGCUACCAUCCUGCAACAACAUCCACUGCCCCAAAGGGACCUCGUGCAAGAUGCUGCAGGGGUGGCCCCAGUGCGUCCACAGCCAACCCUCCUGCAGUGAUGUCCACUGCCCCAAGGGGACCACGUGCAAUAUUGUCAACGGUUGGCCCCAGUGCGUCCCAAACCGACCUUCUUGCAGCAACAUCCAGUGCCAGAAGGGAACCGCGUGCCAGAUGGUUGACAGUUGGCCCCGGUGUGUGCAAAUCAAGACCUCCAUUCGUAGACCUACUUGCAGUGACCUCCAGUGUCCCAAAGGGAGCAUCUGCAAGAUAACAGACAACUGGCCGCAGUGCGUCUACACCCAACCCUCUUGCAAUGACAUCCAGUGUCGGAAGGGAACCACGUGCCAGAUGGUUGAUGGUUGGCCAAGGUGUGUUCAAAUCAAGGUCUCCCCAGGGCGACCUACUUGUGCAGAUCUCCACUGCUCCAAAGGGACCACGUGCAAGAUGACGAAUGGGUGGCCCCACUGCGUCCAGAACCCACCCUCCUGCAGUGACGUCCAGUGCCAGAAGGGAACCACGUGCCAGAUGGUCGAUGGUUGGCCCCGGUGUGUGCAAGUCAAGACUUCCAUCAGGAGACCGACUUGUAGGGACGUCCAGUGUUCCAAGGGAUCCAUGUGCAAAAUGCUACAUGGGUGGCCGCAGUGUGUCCACUCCCAGCCCUCCUGUCACGAUGUCCAGUGCCCCAAAGGGACCGCAUGUAAUAUGGUCAACGGAUGGCCCCAGUGCGUCCAAAAUCGUCCCUCCUGCAGUGACAUCCAGUGCCAGAAGGGAACGACGUGCCAGAUGGUUGAUGGUUGGCCCCAAUGCGUCCAAACCAAGACCUCCAUUAGGGGACCUUCCUGCAGGGAUAUUCAGUGCCCCAAAGGGAUCACGUGCAAGAUGCUGCAUGGGUGGCCUCAGUGUAUCCAUAGACAACCCUCCUGCAGUGACAUCCAGUGCCAGAAGGGGACCACGUGCCAGAUGGUCGAUGGUUGGCCCCAGUGUGUCCAAACCAAGGCCUCCCCAAGACGGCCUUCUUGCAACGAUGUCCACUGUCCCAAAGGGACCACGUGCAAGAUGACAGAUGGGUGGCCACGGUGUGUCCAUAGUCAACCUUCCUGCAGUGACAUCCAGUGUCCCAAAGGGACUACGUGCAAUAUUAUCAACGGCUGGCCCCAAUGCGUCCAAAAUCGUCCCUCCUGCAGUGACAUCCAGUGCCAGAAGGGAACCGUGUGCCAGAUGGUUGAUGGUUGGCCCCGAUGUGUGCAAACCAAGACCACCCUGAGGCAACCAUCCUGCAACAACAUCCACUGCCCCAAAGGGACCUCGUGCAAGAUGCUGCAGGGGUGGCCCCAGUGCGUCCACAGCCAACCCACCUGCAGUGAUGUCCACUGCCCCAAGGGGACCACGUGCAAUAUUGUCAACGGUUGGCCCCAGUGUGUGCAAAACCAUCCCUCCUGCAGUGACAUCCAAUGCCAGAAGGGAUCAGCUUGCCAAAUGGUUGAUGGUUGGCCCCGGUGUGUGCAACUCAAGACCUCCAUUCGUAGACCGUCUUGCAGGGACAUCCAGUGUCCAAAGGGGACCACGUGCAAGGUGAACGAUGGGUGGCCGCAGUGCGUCUACACCCAACCCUCCUGCAAUGACAUCCAGUGUCCCAAGGGCACGGCCUGCACGAUGACAGAGGGUUGGCCCCAGUGUCUUCCCAGCCAUCCCCUCUUCCGCUCUGCACCCUGGGGUCACCCUGCUUCUGCCCCCCAAAUUUCCGCUGGGGUCUCCCCCAUCCCCUCGUCCUGCAGUGGUGCCCACUGCGCUGCCACCCUUGCGUCCUGCCAGAAUUUUGCCUGCAAGCCCGGCACCGUUUGCAUGGUGGUGCACGGCCACCCCACGUGUGUCUCCCGACCUUCGUGCAAGAACCUCCACUGCCAAGCGGGGAUGGGCUGCAAGCUCCUCAACGGGUGGCCCCGCUGUGUCCGCAUCCCCUCGUGC